AACUGCUCCAGAAUAAGCUCUUGGAAACGGGUGGUAAUGCUGGAUGCUCCAACUUGACGCAUGUCUUGUUGGGAAAGUGUUAGUGGCAUGGGAUGGGGUCGCGUCCUAUCAGCUUGUAGGCGGGGUAAUGGCCCACCUAGGCUUCGACGGGUAGCCGGCCUGAGAGGGCGGACGGCCACAUUGGGACUGAGAUACGGCCCAGACUCCUACGGGAGGCAGCAGGG
rnacentral:rRNA from 1 species